rnacentral:rRNA from 1 species
UUUAACGGCCGCGGUAUUUUGACCGUGCAAAGGUAGCGCAAUCACUUGUCUUUUAAAUGAAGACCUGUAUGAAUGGCAUGACGAGGGCUUAACUGUCUCCUUUUUCCAGUCAAUGAAAUUGAUCUUCCCGUGCAGAAGCGGGAAUACAACCAUAAGACGAGAAGACCCUAUGGAGCUUUAAACAAAAACAGAUCUUGUUAAACAUAUCCAAACAAAGAAAUUAAACUAAAAGAACCCUGUUGUUNAUGUUUUUGGUUGGGGCGACCACGGGGAAACAAAUAACCCCCAUGUGGACUGAGAAAACAAUUCUCACAACAAAGAGCCACAGCUCUAAUUAACAGAACUUCUGACCUUNGAGAUCCGGCAAUGCCGAUCAACGGACCAAGUUACCCUAGGGAUAACAGCGCAAUCCUCUUUUAGAGUUCAUAUCGACAAGAGGGUUUACGACCUCGAUGUUGGAUCAGGACAUCCUAAUGGUGCAGCAGCUAUUAAGGG